ACGGAAGGCAGCAGUAGGGAAUAUUGCACAAUGGGGGAAACCCUGAUGCAGCAACGCCACGUGUGGGAAGACGCAUUUCGGUGUGUAAACCACUGUCGUGAGGGAAUAAGGCUACUUUUCGGAGUAGUUGAAUGUACCUCGAAAGGAAGCACCGGCAAACUUCGUGCCAGCAGCCGCGGUAAUACGAGGGGUGCAAGCGUUGUUCGGAAUCACUGGGCGUAAAGGGAGCGCAGGCGGAGAUGCAAGCGGACUGUACAAUACCGGGGCCCAACCCCGGACCUGCAGACUGGACUGUUUCUCUUGGAUAGCUCAGGGGCUGGCGGAAUUCCUGGUGUAGCGGUGGAAUGCGUAGAGAUCAGGAAGAACACCGAUGGCGAAGGCAGCUUGCUGGGGACUAAUCGACGCUCAUGCUCGAAAGUGCGGGUAGCAAACAGGAUUAGAUACCCUGAUA
rnacentral:rRNA from 1 species